AAGGAAGUUCAGGGACCAAAAUGUAAAAACCACAUAGUUGGUUAUAUCUAUGCGACCGCAUAGUGUAACCAUCUAUGCGGUCGCAUAGAUGGAUACAGGGAAAAAAUUGGGCAUUUCAAAUGACCUAUGCGACCGCAUAGGUUUCUUCUAUGCGGUCGCAUAGAAGAAACUUCGGGUGGUUUUCUGCAGUUUCCUUUUUUGACUCCAACUCCUCUCUUACCUAAUUUGGACACACUAUAUAUACCCUAAAACACGUCCAGAACUGGGGUAGACAUUUUUGGGAGAAAAGAGGCACACAAGAACAUCAAGAUCCAAGAAUUUAUGCAAGAAGAAGGAAGAUUUCAUCAAGAUUGAAGAUUCCAAGCAACAAUUAUAAUAGGGUGAUGUCUUCUCCUUUAUUGAAUUUUUGUAAUUUUCUUCAAAAUAUGAUAGGCUAGGGUUUUUGUUCAUUAGGAAUUUGAUGAACCUUUUGAUGAUUUAAAUUUCUAUUAUUUCAUUAAUUCAACAAUAGUUUCGAUUGGACAAAUGUUUGAUUUAUAUGAUUUGAAUGCUUCCAUAAUUAUUUGGCCAAUUGUUAUGUGAUUAUAGAUGAUUUGUUCUUUGCAUUCGAAAGAAGGGGAAUAAAUUCGAUAGAAUAUAAAUUGACUUAGGGUCCGAUAGGGGAUGGAAACUUACCUCUAUGCUUUAUGCAAUUCAUGAAGAUGUUCAUAAAAAGUCAUGCAUUCUUGUACAUUGCAUCAUCCAUAGAAAUAUAGGCUGGUGGUGUGUAAGAGUAGAUUCAAUAUAUAUCGAGAGAGUGUAUUGGAUAAUUUAGGAACAUUGAAUUGGCAUUUUGUUCCAUCGAUUCGUUGAAUUUGUGAAAUUAGGGUUUUUAAUAGUCAAUUGGGGAUUCAAGUUCUUAAUGACUUCAUUUCACAAAAGAUAGUUCUAAAAUUGCAUAUUUACAUUUUAGUUGCGUGUUUAUUUCAUUCGACUAGUGAAAUUUCGAAAUUAAGGUUUCCAAUUUUGAAAUUAGGGUUUUCUUUGCAAUUAGGGUUUCGAAUUGGGGAUUUCUUCCAAAAUUAGGGCUUUUCACAUUUAAACCAAAUUUUCAUUCAAUUAGAUUCAGUUAAGGUCACAUUGAUUUAAUUAGACCUAAUUUAAUCCUCGUGGGAAAGAUUCUUGGACUCAUAGUCCAUUUUUACUACUUGUUAACGAAUCGUACACUUGCGGUGGGUUUUAAAAUUGAAAAGAAAUAUUUUGCGAACAAGUUUUAGCGCCGUUGCCGAGGAUUAAAUUUUAGAUUUAAUUAUAUCUUUUGUGACACUAAUUCGAACUUAUUCAUUUUAGUACUUGUUAAUUUUAUUAGAUUUAUUUAAUUAUUAUUUAUAUUGACUUUUUGUGUUAAUUUUGCCAUAUCAGGGCUUGCAUGCAAGGAGCACCUGAUCAAGAUUUGGUCCCUAUAGAUCCAGAGAUUGAACGCACAUUCCGUCACAGGCAAAGGGAAGCAAGAGUGGUACAACAAAUGGCUAACGAGCAAAAUCGACCAGGAAUUCCACUCAACGAAGGUGUGGCAGUGGAAGAGGAUGGAAAUACGGUACUUGGGGAUUUCAUGGCACCAUUGGUGGUGCAAAGUCAAUCUAGUAUCUUAUAUCCUCCAUUUGGGCAACCGAACUUCCAACUGAAGACAAACGUGAUUCAACUGUUUCAGAAUGGGCAUCAAUACCAUGGGAUGGCUAGUGAGAAUCCGCAUACACACAUAUCUCGAUUUCUUGAUAUGUGUCAACACUUCAGAUAUCAAGGUAUCUCUGAUAAUGCUAUAAGACUGCAUUUGUUCCCGCACACCUUGAGGGAUAAAGCACUUGAAUGGCUGGAUUCACUCCCUGUCGGAAGCAUCACCACUUGGAACGAGCUAGCUCAUAAAUUCUGCACCAAGUUCUUCUCGCCAGCUAAAGUAGCUAAAAUGCGGCAUGACAUCUCAAUAUUCAACCAGAUUGAGUCAGAGUCAUUUGAAGAGGCAUGGAACCGUUUCAAGAACAUGUUAAGGAAGUGCCCACAACAUGGCUUUGACAAGAAGACUCAGAUCAGAUUUUUCUACACUGGAUUACUCCCAUCAUUCAAGAGUAUGGUGGAUGCAUCAUCUGACGGGUCUAUCUCUACAAGAACAAUUGACGGAGCCUGGGAGUUGUUUGAAAGGAUGGCUACAACUUCAGCUAUGUGGUCUACAGAUCGAGUAGUUCAGAAGAGAGCACCUGGGGUGUAUGAAGUAGAUACUUACUCAGCACUGUCAGCGAAAAUAGAUUCCUUAUUCCAUAAGGUUGAAAGCAUUUCACAAACCGCCACUGCUAAGCAAAUUAUGAAGCAGAGUUGUGAAGAAUGUGGAGCAGAUCAUAGUACUGCUACUUGCCCAAUUCUGGCACAAGGGGUAGAACAUGCAGAAUUCACACAAUGGGGUCAGCGCCAGCAGAAUAACCCACAUUCAGAAACCUUCAAUCAAGGCUGGAGAAAACACCCAAAUUUCUCUUGGAGCAACCAGAAUCAAAAUAGACCACAAGGGCAAUAUCAGCAGCAAGAUAAAAAGCCAAAUUUGGAGGAUAUGUUCGAGAAAUUCAUGUCACACACCAAUCAGUACAUGGAAGCCAAUAACCAAUUUAUGCGAAGGACGGAAACAACGCUUCAAGAUCAAAGUGCAGCGAUCAAGAACUUGGAGACACAAGUGGGACAGAUAGCAAUUUCCAUAACAGGUAGAGCACCGGGAAACCUACCUAGCAAUACUGAAGUUAACCCUAAGGAACAUGCAAAGGCUAUAACAACCAGAAGUGGAGUACAACUGCCGGAACCACAUGUAACAAGUUCGGGAGCCAACAAGGAAGCAAUGCCAAUCAUGCAAGAAGAAGGUAGUGUGGAGCAAACUGACAAUGCAACAGAAGAUGAGGUUAAGAGGAACUCCAAGACAUUACAAGGUAAAAAUACUAAUCCUGUUAAUCCUCAUGAGCCUCCUAUUCCAUUUCCACAAAGGUUGAGAAAGCACAAAAUGAUCAGCAAUACAGUAAGUUCCUUGAAGUCUGCAAGAAACUGCAUAUCAACAUCCCAUUUGCUGAAGCACUUGUCCAAAUGUCGAGCUAUGCAAAAUUCUUGAAGGAUAUCCUAUCCAACAAGCGAAAGAUGGAAGAACACGAAACAGUAAUGUUGACUGAGGAAUGCAGCGCCAGAAUCCAGAGAAAGCUACCACCAAAACUGAAAGAUCCAGGGAGUUUUACUGUACCCUGCACUAUUGGAGACUGUUAUUUUGAUAAAGCUUUGUGUGAUUUGGGUGCAAGUAUUGAUCUAAUGCCUCUUUCUGUUUUCAGGAAACUCGGUUUGGGAGAAGCAAAAGCAACAACAGUGACAUUGCAAUUAACAGAUCAAUCCCUUACACAUCCAAGAGGAAUCAUUGAAGACGUGCUGGUAAAAGUGGAGAAGUUCAUAUUUCCAGCUGAUUUUCUUAUCUUGGACAUGGAAGAAGAUAAAGAUGUUCCACUCAUUUUGGGGCGACCUUUCUUAGCCACUGGGAGAGCAAUUGUAGAUGUUCAGAAGGGGCAGUUGAUAUUAAGACUUGGUGAAGAGCAAAUCUCUUUCAACGUGUUCAAAGCAAUGAAAUUCUCCACUGAGGCAGACAGUUGUUUCCAGAUCGAUGUAGUCGAUCGAAUAGUUCAAGACACAUUUCGGCUACAUCAUCCUUCCGAUGCAUAUGAGGUAUGCAUUGCACAUUCACAAUCCACCCAUUCUGAAUCAAGUGAGAUUGAGACAUGUGCUCAUUUUUUGGAGAGUAACCAGCCAUAUAUGCGCAGACGCUACUAUGAAGAGCUGGGAACUAGAACUGCAAAAUCAGUGCCAUCUAUUGUGAAACCACCCAAAUUGGAACUCAAACAACUGCCACCACAUCUUCGAUAUGCAUACCUGGGGGAAUCUUCUACACUACCUGUUAUUAUUUCAAGCACUGUCAGUGAGGUAGAGGAAGAGAAACUACUUCGGGUGUUAAGGGAGAAUAAAACAGCUAUUGGGUGGUCGAUUGCAGAUAUAAAGGGGAUCAGCCCAUCUAUAUGCAUGCAUAAGAUACUCAUGGAGGAAAAAUUUAAAUCAAGUAUUGAUGGGCAGCAGAGAUUGAAUCCACACAUGAAGGAAGUGGUUAGAGCUGAGGUAUUGAAGUUUCUCGAUGCAGGUAUUAUUUAUCCAAUAUCAGAUAGUGCAUGGAUCAGUGCAGUGCAAGUUGUUCCCAAGAAAGGAGGAAUCACAGUGAUAGAAAAUGAGAGAAAUGAGUUGAUUCCUACACGGACAGUGACUGGAUGGAGAGUGUGCAUUGAUUACCGUAAGCUUAACUCAGCUACUCGAAAGGAUCACUUUCCAUUACCGUUCAUUGAUCAGAUGUUGGAGAGAUUAGAAGGACAUUCGCACUACUGUUUCCUAGAUGGGUACUCCGGGUAUAAUCAGAUUCCAGUGGCACCAGACGAUCAGGAGAAGACCACUUUCACUUGCCCCUACGGCACCUUUGCAUACAGAAGGAUGCCAUUUGGAUUAUGCAAUGCUCCCGCUACCUUUCAGCGCUGCAUGAUGGCUAUUUUCUCAGACAUGAUUGAGAAAUUCAUCGAGGUAUUCAUGGAUGACUUCUCUGUGUUUGGAUCUUCAUUUGAUGAGUGCUUGGAGCAUCUAAGUCUUAUGCUGCAACGGUGUACGGAGACCAACUUGGUGUUGAAUUGGGAGAAAUGUCACUUUAUGGUGCAAGAAGGUAUCGUACUAGGGUACAAAAUUUCAGCAAAGGGUAUUGAAGUGGACAGGGCAAAGAUUCAGGUGAUCGAGAAUCUACCACCACCUACCUCAGUGAAGGGUGUUCGCAUUUUUCUUGGGCACGCUGGAUUCUACAGAAGGUUUAUCAAGGAUUUUUCAAAAAUUACCAAACCUCUGUGCUAUUUACUGAUGAAGGAGUCCACAUUUGAGUUUAAUGAUGAGUAUCUGCAGGCCUUUAACACUUUGAAAGAGAAGUUGACUUUAGCACCUGUAAUUAUCACACCGGAUUGGAAUCUGCCAUUUGAAUUAAUGUGUGACGCCAGUGAUUAUGCUGUGGGAGCCGUGUUGGGUCAACGAAGGAAUAAAGUAUUUCACGUGAUCUACUAUGCAAGUAAGACUUUGAACGAUGCUCAGUUAAAUUAUGCCACUAUGGAGAAAGAGCUUCUUGCUGUAGUCUAUGCGUUUGACAAAUUUCGAUCAUACCUUGUGGGGUCGAAGGUCAUAGUCUACACAGAUCAUGUCGCCAUCAGAUACUUGAUGGAGAAGAAGGAUGCUAAGCCACGCCUCAUCCGUUGGAUAUUGCUGCUUCAAGAGUUUGACCUGGAAAUUAAGGAUAAGAAAAGCAGUGAAAACGUGGUAGCGGACCACCUAUCUCGGCUUGAGGACACAGAACAGGAAGAGACAGUGGAAAUAAACGAGAUCUUCCCAGAUGAGCAGAUCUUUGGUGUGAUGGAAACACCCUGGUAUGCAGAUAUAGUUAACUAUUUAGCCAGGUCUAUCAUACCUCCAAAUUACUCAAGUCACCAGAAGAAGAAACUCUUCGCGGAAUUGAAGUACUACUUUUGGGAAGACCCCAUUCUCUACAGGCGGGGGGCUGAUCAAAUUGUUCGGCGUUGUGUACCACAGGAAGAAGUGCCUUUGAUAUUAGAGAACUGUCACUCAUCAAUAUAUGCAGGGCAUUUUGGUGCUUCUAAGACAGCAGCGAAAAUUCUCCAAUCAGGUUUUUACUGGCCCACACUCUUUAAGGACGCGUUUGAAUUUGUAAAGAGGUGUGACCGAUGUCAACGCACGGGUAACAUCUCUAGAAGAAAUGAGAUGCCUUUGAGUAGUAUCUUAGAGGUGGAAUUAUUUGACGUCUGGGGGAUCGAUUUCAUGGGGCCAUUCCCACCAUCUUUUCAAAUCAAUACAUUUUAGUGGCGGUGGACUGUGUUUCGAAGUGGGUUGAAGCGGUUGCAUUGCCUACAAAUGAUGAAAAAGUGGCGAUUGAGUUUGUGAAGAAGAAUAUUUUCACCCGGUUUGGGACACCGAGAGCCAUAAUCAGUGACGGGGGCACACAUUUCUGCAAUCGUCAGUUCGAGCAGUUGUUAUCAAAAUAUGGCGUCAAGCACCGCAUAGCCACCGCAUAUCAUCCCCAAACCAGCGGACAGGUCGAAGUAUCCAAUAGGCAAUUGAAGCGCAUUCUGGAAGUCACAGUUAACUCAUCACGAAAGGAUUGGUCAAAGAAACUGGAUGAUGCCUUGUGGGCCUACAAGACUGCAUUCAAGACUCCUAUAGGAAUGUCUCUAUAUCGACUGGUUUUUGGGAAAGCACGCCAUCUACCUCUCGAGAUCAAACAUCAUGCUUACUGGGCAAUGAAGAAGUUGAACUUGGAUUUGAAGGCUGCAGGUGAAAAACGGCUGUUACAACUGAAUGAACUUGAUGAACUCAGAAUGGAAGCCUAUGAGAACUCAAAGAUCUACAAAGAGCGCACCAAGAAAUGGCAUGACAUGCAUAUCCAGAGGCGUGACUUUCAAGUGGGGCAAAAAGUGUUACUGUAUAACUCCGGGCUUAAGCUGUUUUCAGGAAAAUUGAGAUCGAGAUGGUCUGGUCCAUAUACAAAUACACAAGUAUUUCCACAUGGGACAAUUAAGAUCACUCACGACAGCAAGGGGACAUUCAAAGUCAAUGGACAGCGGUUGAAGCACUACUGGGGCGGUGAUUUCUCAAAGGACAAGUCUACCGUCCAACUUGGAUCACCAGAAUGACGCAUUACGGUAAAGUCGAGCUAUCGACUAUAACAUAGCGCUGAGUGGGAGGCAACCCACUGUAUCCUUUAUUUUAUUUUAUUGCAUUGCAUUAGUUUAGAAAUUUGUUUGAAUUUAGUUUGUUUCUUAGGUCAUUGAUCAUAUUUUGCAUGAUAGCCUAGGCACUACACGUUUAAUGUUGCAUGAAUGGGUGUUGAAUGAAGUGUUUGGGUGUUCGAGUGUGUGUCACGCAUUCCUAUGUGCGAAGAUGUUCGUUUUGGUUAAACUUUCAGAAUGCGGGACAACAGUUAUGAAAAACUGAUUUUGGGCGAGUUUAAAUUUUAUAAAAAAAAAAUUUGACAAAAAUGGCUUUUUUUAUUUUAUUCUAUUUCUAAAAAAAAUAAAAAUAAAAAAAAUAAAAAAAAAAAUAAAAUUUUUUUCUAUGCGAUCGCAUAGACUUGGUGUCUAUGCGGCGCAUAGACACCAACCGAAACCCAAAGCCCCAUUUUUUUAUAUCUAUGCGACCGCAUAGAAUAUAACUAUCUUUCUUUUUCACUCCCAUUCAUUCCUCACCCAUUCUCUCUCGCCCAAUUUCAUCUUAGAUCCACUUUCCACACUUGAUUACAUCACAAUCACCUACACUCCACAAGGAUCUCGAAUUUAAGGUUGACAAUCAUCUUGAAGGUACUCCUCUUCCCUAUCUCCUCCAUGGUGCUCGUGUAUUUCAUGUAUUUCGAUUUGAUUUUCUGCAUUUUGGGAUGCUUGGGGAGUUGAUGAUGGAUGGAAUGUAUUGGUUAUAAUUCAAUUGUGUCAUGGGUAAUUCGAAUUUUGGGGAUAUUGGGUUUUAUAUGGUCUUCUUGGGAAUGCAUGUCAUGUGUUUGAUAAAUUGCCAAGUUGAUUGAUUUUUGGGUAUUUUGGGUACCCUUACCUUCAAUUCAUUUGAUUGAUGGGUGCUAUGUGCGUGGUACUUGAAUUGUGAACGCGGAACUAUGUGAACUCAUCAAUUGUUGGCUAGUAUAUGGAGAUCUCACAUUGCACACAACAUGCUCGAUGAAAUGCACAUGUGUGGUAAUCUUUUACAUUCACAAACAUCCAGCAUGGCAUUUGACUAUUCGAUGAAUGAAGUAACUCAUUGUGACGUAUUACCAAACAAUACGACUUAGACAACAUUACCACACACAUGUACGAAAAUAGCUAAGUCAUAGCAUGCCCAAGCACCCUCCGUCCUUUAUUUUACACUACUAUUUGACACACCAAAUGAACUCCGAUUGGGCUGAAAUUUGAAUAUGUGCUAGACCUCAUUGCAUACUUCCAUAUGCCCGGAGGAUGCCCGGGACAAUCUUGAUAAUUCUCGAUGAUGCCCAGGGCCGAAGGUGUACACUCAACCAUAACUCCAACCCUUUAACUAUGAGCACAUUCUUCCAAAAUUUCCUUAUAUUUCCAUGUGGACUAUACAUUUAUACUACUCUAAUCAUCAUACAUUGUUUAUUACACCGUGGUAGUAUACAUGCUUAUUGAAACAAGUUUGGGGGAUUUGUGUUUUCCGUGCUUUUCAUUUCAUGCGACUUCUCAUUGUAUAUCAAGAUGGCUAAUGCUUGCUAUUUUCUAACUUUGCAGGAUGCCACCAAAACGAACUUCAAAAGGGAAGGAGAAGGUCGGCUCAUCAUCCGGCACGGCACGCACUCGUGUGCUUGAAGGAGGUAUACAGAGAUUUUUAACUGCCGAGGCAGCAGCCCGUUAUGAGAACAUAGUGAGUCGUUGGACAGUUAUACCAGAAAGGGCUGUUAAGUUAGACGACUUUCCUGGUUUCGAGCUCACUACCUUGGUGCAGAACUGUGGAUGGCAUAAAAUAGUGGAGCAUCCACAUCGGAGUUAUGAACUGUUGGUGGGGGAAUUUUACGCCAACUUCAAUACUGAAAUUGACACACCAGGGUCCGAUCACUUACAUCAGACUUGGGUCCGGGGAAAAUGGAUCACAUUCUCACUCGAAGUUAUACAAGACUACUACCAGCUCACCUGGGAAAACAUAACACUUGUACCAGGUGACUUCAAUUGGCCUGAAGUGGCGGAGAUCUUAUUGGGGCGACAGAAUGCAUGGCCACUCCCCACUACUGAGUGGCAUCAGAUUGAGCUUACACCGUCUAUAGCGAUCCUGUGGCUGUUCAUGUGCCACAACAUUGAGCCUACCUCUCACAAGACCACAUUCACAGAUCCCACAGCUGGAUUCCUUUACCACUUGGUGUGAGACAUAGCUCAAUGAUCUUCCCAAGCCUCAUCUCCGAAAUUUGCAUAGCUGCUGGUAUAAACAUUGUAUCUGGGGAGGUGGCGGCCAAACCCAGCCCCACCAUAAAGCACAGUACUUUGGAGGCCCAAGACAGAGCCAGGUUAAAGCAUUGGGAGAAGCAAGAAAUUGAGAGGCGGAGACAGCAGAGAGAGCAAGGUCAAGAGCAAGCCGAGCAAGAAAUGCCUCAAGCUCCUCCUUCACAGGCUGAGUUGAAUGCGCAGUUGUGGCGCCAGAUUUUCACCACCACCACGGGGAUCAGCCGAGAUGUGCAGAGUCUCCAGCAGGCUAUGGGAACUUUGACGACUGAGAUGCAUACAGCCCACCGUGACGUCCACAUUGCCACUGAUAUGUCACGUGCCGCUCGCCAGGAUGCCCAGGCAGCUAGGAGGGAGAUGGACACUAUGAAUGGUCGACUAAGUGUGUAUGUGGGCAGAGUGGAUGGCAUCCAGCUGAGGGUAAAUGAAACUUGGGAGCGUUUAGGCCGUUUGGAGACACGGGUUGAGGGGAUCCACGAUGAAAUGACACAGCAGUCAGCACUGAUGAGGGAAAUCUUGGCGCGCCUACCUCCACCUCCAGCUGAUGAUACUGCGGGAUCUAGCUUCCCAUCACAGCCCCCGUUUUGAUCAGGGGAGUAUCGUUUGUCUCAUUUGUAUUCAUUUUCCUUAAAUUCUGCCUUCUAAACUUAUUUUUCACAUUGUGGACAAUGUCUUGUAUAAGUUUGGGGGAUGGUGGCAGUGGCAUAAUUUGAUUAAGACAUUCGGCAUGUAACUAAUUGCAUUUCCACAAUCUAGAUUUAUUUUUAAUAAUUGCUGCAUGAGACAUGCUUGUGAGUGAAUAUUUAUUAUGCUUAUGUAUGCUUGUGUGAGCUUAAUUGCCUUGUCGGCUAUGAUGUUACUAUUGGAUUGAUACAUUUCAGAACUUUGGGAUCGGUGCUAAUUAGGCUAACCUAUACUUGUUGCCGCAAUACUUAACAUUUAUUUUAUGCACGUCAUUCAUGCUUGACAUGUUAGAUAAGUGAUUGGGAUUUUGAGCAUAGAGUAGAGAGAUAGUUAUAACCUUCUAUUGAAUGAACCCGUAAAAUACCUUGAGACAGUUUGGUGAUAGUUGAACUAUUAUAGGCGAACAUUAAAAUGAGUGAGGCUCCGUGCAUGAAUUAUUGUGUGGAUUGCCUAGACCAGUAGGAUGAAGAGUAGGUGAAAAUCUUAAAUUGGGGGUUGGUUUUGGAAACUAAAUGUCCAGAAAAAUAACAAAGGGUAUAAAAUUAAUAUGCGAGAAUAAGACACUUCUUUUCAUGCCUUUAUGACUCGAGCAAGUAAGCCUGUAAGGAUAUUUCAAAAUCUGGUGCCCUAAGGUCAACUGGUCUGGGAGUCACCGGCCUAAAGCUCGAUACAUGGGUCAUAAAAAAAGCAAGAGGGAAAGAGGUUAAUAAAAAGUCAUCUGAUCGAGCCUUUGUAACUCGAGUGAAUAAGCCUGUAAGGGUUUAAAAACCUGGUGCCCUAAAGCCAGCUGGUUUGGGAGUCACCGGCCUAAAGCUCGUUACAUGAGUUAUAUAGAAAGCAAAUGAGAAGAUGAUGAGAAAAAAAAUAAAAAGAAUUUCAGAAAAUCAGAGAAAAGUGAGAAAAAUAAAAGAGAGACAAAAACAUGAAGAAAAGCCCUUUGGACAUUUGGUGGAAGAAACUAUACCUUUGAGGCAAGGCAAGUAGCCUAGUUUAAUCUUGAGUGUCGAAGCAAUCAAAACUUAGGAGAGCUUUCACUGGUUGACAUGUAAACUUGUGAUAGUGAGAUUGAUCCAAAUUACGAGAGGGUGAGAAAUACAGCUCUAUAAAAACUCCAAAUUUUAGAAACACAACCUCGGGAUAAUUGAGUGAAAAUAAUAAGUUUGGGGGUUGUGUAUCUCUCGAGCGAGUAAGGAUACAUUUGACCACUUAGGGUCGGGACUCAAACUCAUCAUGAAUUUGAUAUGUUAGUGUGAAUCCACACACAUACGUCAAGUAUGCAUUUAACAGGUAAAGGUUGAUGUCAUUUUACACUGAUAAAUUUUCAUAAACUCAAUUACUUAGUCCAAUCCUGAGCCAAGGCAAGGUGUUAAGCCAUGUUUGUUUAGCAUUGAGUCACUGCAUUGUUUGAGGACAAACAAUAGUUUAAGUUUGGGGGAUUUGAUAAGUAUGUUUUUACACACGUAUUUGGUUCACAAAUAUGACUUAAACAUAGAUAAAAUGGUUGAAUUGUGGCUUAAUCCUAUUAAAUUCAUGCAAUGUAGGUAUUUCAAUGGAAAUUGUGGAAUUCGGGAGAAAAAAGUCGAAGAAGGACCAAAACGCAACAAAGUGAUAGCUCGAGGACCAAAUGUGCAAAUAUUGAGAAGUUGAGCUAAAUGCAAAACGAGAGUGAAAACAUACCAAGUAAGAGCUCAAUGACAAAGCAAAAUAAUUGGAAGAAGAAAGUAUUGAAGAGGGACUGAAAUGAAGACAAUUGAAAGUUGGAGGACUAAAGCGCAAAUACUCAAAAGAUGUGCCGAAUGAGGGGCAUGAGAAUUGAUGGUGUCAAUCAUCAAUUGGAAGAUAAAAUUUGUUGAAAAGAUGAAGAAAUCGAAGAAAAAAGUCAAGAGAAGCAACAAGGAAGUUCAGGGACCAAAAUGUAAAAACCACAUAGUUGGUUAUAUCUAUGCGACCGCAUAGUGUAACCAUCUAUGCGGUCGCAUAGAUGGAUACAGGGAAAAAAUUGGGCAUUUCAAAUGACCUAUGCGACCGCAUAGGUUUCUUCUAUGCGGUCGCAUAGAAGAAACUUCGGGUGGUUUUUCUGCAGUUUCCUUUUUCGACUCCAACUCCUCUCUUACCUAAUUUGG
rnacentral:lncRNA from 1 species